rnacentral:rRNA from 1 species
GGGGAAUAUUGGGCAAUGGGCGCAAGCCUGACCCAGCAACGCCGCGUGAAGGAAGAAGGCUUUCGGGUUGUAAACUUCUUUUGUCGGGGACGAGUAGAAGACGGUACCUGGCGAAUAAGCCACGGCUAACUACGUGCCAGCAGCCGCGGUAAUACGUAGGUGGCAAGCGUUGUCCGGAUUUACUGGGUGUAAAGGGCGUGUAGCCGGGAAGGCAAGUCAGAUGUGAAAUCCACGGGCUUAACUCGUGAACUGCAUUUGAAACUACUUUUCUUGAGUAUCGGAGAGGCAAUCGGAAUUCCUAGUGUAGCGGUGAAAUGCGUAGAUAUUAGGAGGAACACCAGUGGCGAAGGCGGAUUGCUGGACGACAACUGACGGUGAGGCGCGAAAGCGUGGGGAGCAAAC